GCUAAUACAUGCAAGUCGAGCGGACAGAUGGGAGCUUGCUCCCUGAUGUUAGCGGCGGACGGGUGAGUAACACGUGGGUAACCUGCCUGUAAGACUGGGAUAACUCCGGGAAACCGGGGCUAAUACCGGAUGGUUGUUUGAACCGCAUGGUUCAAACAUAAAAGGUGGCUUCGGCUACCACUUACAGAUGGACCCGCGGCGCAUUAGCUAGUUGGUGAGGUAACGGCUCACCAAGGCAACGAUGCGUAGCCGACCUGAGAGGGUGAUCGGCCACACUGGGACUGAGACACGGCCCAGACUCCUACGGGAGGCAGCAGUAGGGAAUCUUCCGCAAUGGACGAAAGUCUGACGGAGCAACGCCGCGUGAGUGAUGAAGGUUUUCGGAUCGUAAAGCUCUGUUGUUAGGGAAGAACAAGUACCGUUCGAAUAGGGCGGUACCUUGACGGUACCUAACCAGAAAGCCACGGCUAACUACGUGCCAGCAGCCGCGGUAAUACGUAGGUGGCAAGCGUUGUCCGGAAUUAUUGGGCGUAAAGGGCUCGCAGGCGGUUUCUUAAGUCUGAUGUGAAAGCCCCCGGCUCAACCGGGGAGGGUCAUUGGAAACUGGGGAACUUGAGUGCAGAAGAGGAGAGUGGAAUUCCACGUGUAGCGGUGAAAUGCGUAGAGAUGUGGAGGAACACCAGUGGCGAAGGCGACUCUCUGGUCUGUAACUGACGCUGAGGAG
rnacentral:rRNA from 1 species